CGGCGUGCCUAAUCAUGCAAGUCGAAGCACUCUCGGUUUAGAAGUUGUAAGGAGCUUGCUCUGAUUGAUAAACAUUUGAGUGAGUGGCGGACGGGUGAGUAACACGUGGGUAACCUGCCCUAAAGUGGGGGAUAACAUUUGGAAACAGAUGCUAAUACCGCAUAAAACCUAACACCGCAUGGUGUAGGGUUGAAAGAUGGUUUCGGCUAUCACUUUAGGAUGGACCCGCGGUGCAUUAGUUAGUUGGUGAGGUAAAGGCUCACCAAGACCGUGAUGCAUAGCCGACCUGAGAGGGUAAUCGGCCACACUGGGACUGAGACACGGCCCAGACUCCUACGGGAGGCAGCAGUAGGGAAUCUUCCACAAUGGACGAAAGUCUGAUGGAGCAACGCCGCGUGAGUGAAGAAGGUUUUCGGAUCGUAAAACUCUGUUGUUGGAGAAGAAUGUAUCUGAUAGUAACUGAUCAGGUAGUGACGGUAUCCAACCAGAAAGCCACGGCUAACUACGUG
rnacentral:rRNA from 1 species